UACGUAGGGUGCGAGCGUUAAUCGGAAUUACUGGGCGUAAAGUGUGCGCAGGCGGCCGCGCAAGUCGAGUGUGAAAGCCCCCGGGCUUAACUUGGGAAUUGCGCUCGAAACUACGUGGCUGGAGUGUGGCAGAGGAAGGUGGAAUUCCAGGUGUAGCGGUGAAAUGCGUAGAGAUCUGGAGGAACACCGAUGGCGAAGGCGACUCUUUGGCCUGUAACUGACGCUGAGGCGCGAAAGCGUGGGGAGCAAACAGG
rnacentral:rRNA from 1 species